UACAGAGGUCUCAAGCGUUGUUCGGAUUCAUUGGGCGUAAAGGGUGCGUAGGCGGCGCGGUAAGUCGGGUGUGAAAUCUCGGAGCUUAACUCCGAAACUGCAUUCGAUACUGCCGUGCUUGAGGACUGGAGAGGAGACUGGAAUUUACGGUGUAGCGGUGAAAUGCGUAGAUAUCAAGUGGAACACCAGUGGCGAAGGCGAGUCUCUGGACAGUUCCUGACGCUGAGGCACGAAGGUCAGGGGAGCAAACGGG
rnacentral:rRNA from 1 species